CUCAUCCUCCGCUUCCUCUCUGCUUUUUUCCCCACGUGAGGACCGCCCACCGACGGCGCAGCCAGAUCCUCCGCCCUAGCUACACGCGAAGACCAUGAGCCAUCCCAGAGGCGGCUCGUGGAGUUCAGGACUUCUCCCCAGCGAUGGAAGGCAGAGGUGACGAGCUUAUCCGGCGGUGCGCAGAUCCCGAGAUCCUGGUGACUCGUGAAACAGUGGAGAUGCCUCGGCGGCAGCCCAUCAAGGCGAGGAGCCACUGUGACAUCAGCGUGUGGAGGAAAGACGAAUCAUCUGAUACAGCCAUGGAAGGGAAAUUCUCGCCGAUACCUCAGCUGCUCGGGCGGCAGGCCUGAUGGGCGGCGCCUAAGCACCAACCACAGAUAUCGUCCUGUAUCCACCUAUUUCCUCUCCCCAGGUACUUGGUCGCUGUAAAUGUUGUAGAACACCGAUCAGUCGUCGAUGUUGCACGAAACAUCCAUCUAUGUUGCGGCGGGUUUUCUGCGUGUGCUUGGAGAGCACUUUGUCUUUGAAUGUUGUACGCAACAUGCAACUUAUGUUCCGACGGGAAUUUUGCUAGUCUUCAACCGUCCAAGGCUGUUGGACCUCCGGGCGCUAGCAGCUCCGAAUAUUAUAUCACUGUCCUUUUCCACCCUGCA